rnacentral:rRNA from 1 species
AGUGAACGCUGGCGGUAGGCCUAACACAUGCAAGUCGAACGGCAGCACAGUAAGAGCUUGCUCUUACGGGUGGCGAGUGGCGGACGGGUGAGGAAUACAUCGGAAUCUACUUUUUCGUGGGGGAUAACGUAGGGAAACUUACGCUAAUACCGCAUACGACCUACGGGUGAAAGUAGGGGAUCUUCGGACCUUGCGCGAUUGAAUGAGCCGAUGUCGGAUUAGCUAGUUGGCGGGGUAAAGGCCCACCAAGGCGACGAUCCGUAGCUGGUCUGAGAGGAUGAUCAGCCACACUGGAACUGAGACACGGUCCAGACUCCUACGGGAGGCAGCAGUGGGGAAUAUUGGACAAUGGGCGCAAGCCUGAUCCAGCCAUACCGCGUGGGUGAAGAAGGCCUUCGGGUUGUAAAGCCCUUUUGUUGGGAAAGAAAAGCAGCAGGUUAAUACCCCGCUGUUCUGACGGUACCCAAAGAAUAAGCACCGGCUAACUCCGUG